AUUAUGCUUUUACAAUGUUCUUGCUGAUUAUUAUGUUAGGGUGCCAGAAAGCGGAAAACGAAUCCUUGAUUUAAUUGUCCAACUUUGGAGCCAAUCAUUUGCAUCACAUAUUUUCUCUCUUCUGUUCCAUAAAUGGCUAUUUGAAGCCCAUCUUGAUAGUACUGAAGUACUUAUACGUUACUCAUCUGCUCUUGUUCAAGGUGCUACAAAUGUUUUCUGGAUUGACAUCCAAACGAACACUAGGCAU
rnacentral:misc_RNA from 1 species